UUGAGACCUGCUACAGCCUCAGGAUGCGACGAGCCGACAUCGAGGUGCCAAACCUCCCCGUCAAUAUGGACUAUCGGGAGAGAUCAGCCUGUUAUCCCUAGAGUAACUUUUAUCCGUUAAGCGACAAUCCUACCACUUAGAGUUGUCGGAUCACUAAGACCGACUUUCGUCCUUGUUUAAGUAGUUACUCUCACAAUCAAGCCUUCUUAUUAUUUAACCUUUACAUUUAUUAAUUUUAAUAUUUUAUUUUUAUUAAAAUAAAAGACCUUUGUGCACCUCCGUUACUCUUUAGGAGGCAACCGCCCCAGUCAAACUACCUUUUUGAAAUUUUUAUAUAAUAUGAUAAAAAAAUUAUAGUUAGAAAUUAAAAUUUAUUAAAGUGGUGUUUCAUUAAUAGUAUAAACUUCCCACUUACACUAUAUAAAUAAAAUUUAAUUUCAAUUUCAAAUUGCAGUAAAGCUUCAUAGGGUCUUUCUGUCCUGAUGUAAAAAGUCUGUAUCUUUACAAACAUUUCUAUUUCACCGAAUAUUUCUUAAAGACAGUGUUCAAGUCGUUACACCUUUCGUGCGGGUCGGAACUUACCCGACAAUGAAUUUCGCUACCUUAGGACCGUUAUAGUUACAGCCGCCGUUUACUAGAGCUUAUAAAAAAAUUAUUUGUAUAACAUAAAAAUUUUUUUUAACUUACUAGCACUGGGCAGGUGUCAGUAUCCUUACUUCAUAAUUACAUUUUGCGGAUACCUGUGUUUUUGAUAAACAGUCGCUUGAACUUUUUAAUUGCAGCCUUAUAGGCAUCCUUUAUCCCGAAGUUACAGGAUUGUUUUGCCGAGUUCCUUAAAGAAAUUUAUUUCGUCCUCUUAGUACGUUAUAGUACCUACUCACUUGUGUCAGUUUUAGUACGGGCAUAUCUAUAAUUAUACAAUAUCAUUUUUCUAGCAAAAAUUUUAUUUCUAAGUAAAAAUCAUUUAUUAUAUUACUUAGAAUUUAUAUUUAGGUCACUACUUGUAUACUAUAUAAAUAUGGUUCAAGAAUAUUAACUUGAUUCCCAUCAAUUACAAUAAAUUUCUUAUCUUAGGCCCCGACUAACCCUAUGCGGUUUAUCCUUUCAUAGGAACCUUUUGAGUUUUUGAGGUAUUAGAUUCUUCUUAAUAUUUAAGUUACUUAAACCGACAUUCUCACUUCUACUUUAUUCACAAAAUUUAAUAACUUUGCUUUAUUUUAAUGUAGAACGCUCCCCUACCGAUCUAUUUUUAAUUAAUAGAUCCCAUUACUUCGAUAAAAAAAUAUUUUAUUGUUCAUUUUAGGUGCAGAAUUACUUUACCAGUAAGCUUUUACGCACUUUUUAAAGGAAAACUGCUUCUAAGCUAACCUUCUGGUUGUAUACGUAACAACUCCACAUCCUUUAAAAUUUUCGUUAUAUUUUUAUCUUAGUUUAUGGUCUGGGUUGUUUCCCUUUUGACUUAUAAGAUUAUCCCUAAAAGUCUCACUUAUUAUAAUGUUAAUAUAAAAAUAUUAUUAGUUUAUAGUGAUUUUAAAAACAGUGCUUUACCCUUUUUAUAUAUAUUAUAAUAGCUGCGCCUCAAUACAUUUCGGGGAGAACCAGCUAGCUCCAAAUUCGACAAGCAUUUCACAACUAACCUCAUUUCUUCUGAUAAUUUUGCAGCAUUAAUCAGUUCGAACUUCUAUAUAAAGUUAUUUAUAUUUCAUUCUGAACAAGGUUAUAUCAAUUGGAUUCGGGUUUUUGGUUAUAU
rnacentral:rRNA from 1 species